GAUGAACGCUGACAGCAUGCUUAACACAUGCAAGUCCACUUGAACUUCGGUUUGGGUGGCGGACGGGUGAGUCACGCGUAAAGAACUUGCCUCACAGAUAGGGACAACAUUUGGAAACGAAUGCUAAUACCUGAUAUUAUGAUUAUAUGGCAUCGUAUAAUUAUGAAAGCUAUAUGCGCUGUGAGAGAGCUUUGCGUCCCAUUAGCUAGUUGGAGAGGUAACGGCUCACCAAGGCGAUGAUGGGUAGCCGGCCUGAGAGGGUGAUCGGCCACAAGGGGACUGAGACACGGCCCUUACUCCUACGGGAGGCAGCAGUGGGGAAUAUUGGACAAUGGACCAAGAGUCUGAUCCAGCAAUUCUGUGUGCACGAUGAAGUUUUUCGGAAUGUAAAGUGCUUUCAGUUGGGAAGAAAAAAAUGACGGUACCAACAGAAGAAGUGACGGCUAAAUACGUG
rnacentral:rRNA from 1 species